UACGUGCCUCUUACGUGGCGUUAUCUUGGAAAACUCCCCCAGGACCGGAAGGUAGCAAGGGUAUUCGAGCUAUGACGGGUGCGUAAGAGGUUUUUUAUAU
rnacentral:SRP_RNA from 1 species